AUGCUUAUUCCGAAGACUAAAGCCAUGCAUGCCACCGUUAAGGUGACCCCGUAGAAGCCGAUACUGCGGACGGCUCCGUAUACUAGGGAUGAUACAGGCGAUAGGGUUCGCGAGGGCUUGACCCCCGCGGGCCGAUACGGAUAUCCCCCCAAAAAGCUGAGGCUAAUACGUUGUCGAGACUCGCCUUUGCUGGUCCAGGCUUCCGCUUUUGCAGGUCGCCGUACGGAUCGGCGGGGGUGGAGUAUGCGGAUAUCUUCCUUUGGGAUGAUGCCGCGCAUAUCGGAACCGAGUGGCCAAGGGCUUCUCGGUCCGAAUGCUGGGGGGAUCCGUCUUCGGUGCUCGCAUAGGGCCCCUACUGUAUCAAUCUGAUGGUAGCGCAACGGACAUGCGGAUGUUCGUGACGCAUACAGAGGAUUAGAGUUUGAUCCUGGAGAGUGGGCCUGAGAGACAGCCCACACUUCUACGGGGGGCAGCAGGCGCGCAACGUUCCCAAUGAGCAUAGACUCGAGGGCGUUACGGGGAAUAGGCAUGGUGGCGGCAUAAGUCGUUCACCAUGCGAAUGG
rnacentral:rRNA from 1 species